GGGGGGGGGGAUGGGUCCGGACCACAUGGGGGCCCGUGAAAUAUACAGGUUACAGUACGUCAUGAGGGGUGCCGAGUGAACCAGAUCAGGGCGCUGUCAAAACAGUAGUGGACGGUCGGAAGCGUUUAGACCAGGAAUAAACAACGAGUGCUUGAUUGGAGAAUGUCAGACUUUGAGAUAGAGAUCGGGAAACAUGGACUGGAAGUGGAAGCGAAAGGAAAGGCUUUGUUUUGGAUUGUGACGGCCACGUUUCUAACUGGAUUAGCAGUGGGGGUGUAUGUAGGAUACAAAGGCGGACAUAAGAUCGACAAAUUCAAGAAACGGUGAUGCCAUGGCCUGUAUACAUGUACAUAUGAACAUCUGCAUCGCUUACUCGUUUCUCCGACUCCUGGCUUUGUGAAGGCACUGAACUGUUCCACUUUCAUACAUGUAUUGUACAUGUGUAUAUAUGUACAAGCACACACAUGUGUCUAUACACAUAUCAAAUGUAGUGCUUUGAUCAGUUGUGAAGAAUGAAUCCUUGUUAACAAGGGGUCCUUUCCUUCCUUGAUCAUAUUUCCUUCAUCUAAACGUGAAAGAGUAAAUUCAUCAUCGUUUUUCCGCAGAGGAAGAAAGACAGGUACACAGACAUCUUGUGCUGUAUGAGAAUGCGUGUACAAGCGUGUUUGUGGUGUCUUGUGCGACUGUUUCAUGUGCCCGGAUCUUUUAGUUCAUAUUCAAUUGAAAUUUCCUUUUAUGUGAUAUGUUGCGAGUAACUUUAUAUUCUGUACAAUAAUCUUAUUUUUCCAAUGAAUAAAUAUUUUCAAUGUUUUCAUUUUUGUUAUAGUUGAUGUACAUGUAUAUAAAUCAUAGUAAAAUGAAAAUUUGA